rnacentral:rRNA from 1 species
UACGGGGGGGGGGCAAGCGUUGUUCGGAAUUACUGGGCGUAAAGGGCUCGUAGGCGGCCAACUAAGUCGGACGUGAAAUCCCUCGGCUUAACCGGGGAACUGCGUCCGAUACUGGAUGGCUUGAGUUUGGGAGAGGGAUGCGGAAUUCCAGGUGUAGCGGUGAAAUGCGUAGAUAUCAGGAGGAACACCGAUGGCGAAGGCAGCUCGCUGGGACGGUACUGACGCUGAGGCGCGAAAGCGUGGGGAGCAAACAGG